rnacentral:rRNA from 1 species
CCCUUAGAUGUUCUGGGCCGCACGCGUGCUACACUGAGUGGAUCAGCGGGUCAGGUUGCGCGAAAGCGUUUCCUAAUCUUUAAAUCCGCUCGUGAUGGGGAUUGACGGUUGCAAUUUUCUGUCAUGAACGAGGAAUACCUUGUAAGCGCGGGUCAUCAUCCCGCGCUGAAUACGUCCCCGCCCUUUGUACACACCGCCCGUCGCUCCUACCGAUUGAGUGGUCCGGUGAGGCUUUGGGAUCUGAGCGGAAAGAGCGUUUCGCUGUUUCUGCUCGGAAAACUCAGUCGAACCUUAUCAUUUAGAGGAAGGAGAAGUCGUAACA